rnacentral:rRNA from 1 species
GACGAACGCUGGCGGCGUGCUUAACACAUGCAAGUCGAACGGAAAGGCCCUGCUUUUGUGGGGUGCUCGAGUGGCGAACGGGUGAGUAACACGUGAGUAACCUGCCCUUGACUUUGGGAUAACUUCAGGAAACUGGGGCUAAUACCGGAUAGGAGCUCCUGCUGCAUGGUGGGGGUUGGAAAGUUUCGGCGGUUGGGGAUGGACUCGCGGCUUAUCAGCUUGUUGGUGGGGUAGUGGCUUACCAAGGCUUUGACGGGUAGCCGGCCUGAGAGGGUGACCGGCCACAUUGGGACUGAGGUGCGGCCCAGACUCCUACGGGAGGCAGCAGUGGGGAAUAUUGCACAAUGGGCGGAAGCCUGAUGCAGCAACGCCGCGUGCGGGAUGACGGCCUUCGGGUUGUAAACCGCUUUCGCCUGUGACGAAGCGUGAGUGACGGUAAUGGGUACAGAAGCACCGGCUAACUACGUG